rnacentral:lncRNA from 1 species
UGAAAAUAGUAAUCAAUCCCUAGGCGUUGAACGACAUCAAUCAUGGCCAAUCCUUCAAAAGAAUCGUCAUCUCCUAGUUUGAUAAGUAUGUGCUUGAUUACCUCCAGUUUUUUCGCAUGCUUAAUGUGAAUGUCGUCAUACAUAAGAUAAGAGACAGAGCAUUAAACACUUUCCCAUAAGGUGCCUGACAAUUAUGAAAUAAGAAACAAGAAAUACUAUUUAACCACAUAGUUUAAUAGUUUUCCCGAACUUUAAUAAAGCUCAAGAUCCUAAAUCAGAUCAGCACUAUAUACGUUGUUUAUAUAUGUGGCUCACAUUAAAGUUAGUGGGGUGUUCACUGGGAUAAGUGAAAUGUUUCAACGGGGCAGAAACACCUAUGUUAUCAUUAAUGUUGCCCUUUUUAUUAUUAGGCAGCAAAGAAUUAAUGUUACUGAGGUUUGGGUUGCCAACUUUUGAUAUGUGUUUUGGAAUAACUUGAAUGUGGGAUGAAUCAGACGAAAUAUCUUUGGAAGAGAAAGCCAUGGAAAGUGUGUAUUCGUGGAAAUAGCUAAUCUUGACAGAGAAGAGAUAAUUGGUUCUAAUAAGUCGAGAAUAUGAAGAAUAAGUGAAGCAAUCUUUGGAAGAGAAAGCCAUGGAAAACAUGUACUUAUGGAAAUAGCUAAUCUUGACAGAGAAGAAAGAAUUGGUUCUAAUAGCUCGAGAAUAUGAAGAAUAAAUGAAGCAAUUAUAGAACACAUUUCCCGUCAAAAUAGAAUAGAUUUA